rnacentral:rRNA from 1 species
UACGAAGGUGGCAAGCGUUGUUCGGAAUUACUGGGCGUAAAGGGCGCGUAGGCGGCCUGCUAAGUCGGAUGUGAAAUCCCUCGGCUCAACCGAGGAACUGCAUCCGAUACUGGCGGGCUUGAAUCCGGGAGAGGGAUGUGGAAUUCCAGGUGUAGCGGUGAAAUGCGUAGAUAUCUGGAGGAACACCGGUGGCGAAGGCGGCAUCCUGGACCGGUAUUGACGCUGAGGCGCGAAAGCUAGGGGAGCAAACGGG